AACGAACGCUGGCGGCAUGCCUAACACAUGCAAGUCGAACGAACCCUUCGGGGUUAGUGGCGCACGGGUGCGUAACGCGUGGGAAUCUGCCCUUUGCUUCGGAAUAACUCAGGGAAACUUGUGCUAAUACCGGAUGAUGUCUUCGGACCAAAGAUGUAUCGGCACGGGAUGAGCCCGCGUAGGAUUAGGUAGUUGGUGGGGUAAAGGCCUACCAAGCCGACGAUCCUUAGCUGGUCUGAGAGGAUGAUCAGCCACACUGGGACUGAGACACGGCCCAGACUCGUACGGGAGGGAGCAGUGGAGAAUAUUGGGCAAGGGGCGCAAGUCUGAUCCAGCAAUGCCGCGUGAGUGAUGAAGGCCGUCGGGUCGUAAAGCUCUUUUACCAGGGAUGAUAAUGACAGUACCGGGAGAAUAAGCACCGGCUAACUCCGUG
rnacentral:rRNA from 1 species